GGCUGAAAUUCGCCUUCAUGAAGCUGGAAUUGCUAGUAAUGGCAGGUCAGCAUACUGCCGUGAAUACGUUCUCGGGCCUUGUACACACCGCCCGUCACACCAUGAGAGUUGGAAAUACCCGAAGCCUGUGAGCUAACUUAAAGAGGCAGCAGUCGAAGGUAGAGCCAAUGAUUGGGGUGAAGUCGUAACAAGGUAGC
rnacentral:rRNA from 1 species